UAACAAUCCACAUACAUGCACACAACCCCACAUGCAGCCUCUCACAUGCAAUACCCCAAACAACCCCCACACUCUACCAAACACACAAUGUGACAUAUGCAUCCACACACCCAAUUCCACAAGCAGCCCCCAUACACAGCCCACAUUCAUAUGUAUCAUACACAAUACCAUAAACUACUCAUGAACAUAUACAAUAUAAUAGCUCAAAUACGCACAAAUACAAUGAUACAAAGCAAUUACAGUAAAAAUAACACAAGCAGAAUACGGCAGCAAACACACUUCAAUUUAAAAAAAAUUGGACCGGCAAGCUACGG